UAAAUGCAGAAGUAAGUCACUUUCGAAGUGCAGAACAAGACGCUUGAUCUUGAGAGCUGACGUCAUUUCUCGCCGCUAUGUUAAGUGAUUAUUCCUAAACAAGCCAGAAAUAAAGGGGUAUAUACGGUUCACAGCUUAUUGAACAAUUCAGAACGGUUCGUGCAUCGGCCGCCUGACCGCCAGGUAUGGAAAUACGAAAGGACAAAAAUUCACCGCAAUCUUCCUUCAACAUUCCAAAUCGAAGCUCGAGAACUGCUGACCUUUCCAUGAAGAAUUGCAUUAGGACGAAAAGUUGGGGAAUGUUCUUCCUAUUAAUCGAAAGCACGCGAUCGAAGAGGAGCAAGAGAGGAGGGCAACGAGUCGCUAAACAGGCGCCACGAUCGUCCUUCAACUCUCCACAGCGAGAAUGAACGGGUUCACGGUUCACCCCUUCUUUCUAU
rnacentral:misc_RNA from 1 species